UACGGGGGGGGCAAGCGUUGUUCGGAAUUACUGGGCGUAAAGGGCUCGUAGGCGGCCAACUAAGUCAGACGUGAAAUCCCUCGGCUUAACCGGGGAACUGCGUCUGAUACUGGAUGGCUUGAGUUUGGGAGAGGGAUGCGGAAUUCCAGGUGUAGCGGUGAAAUGCGUAGAUAUCUGGAGGAACACCGGUGGCGAAGGCGGCGUCCUGGACCAAUACUGACACUGAAACGCGAAAGCCAGGGGAGCAAACGGG
rnacentral:rRNA from 1 species